UGGGGAAUAUUGCACAAUGGGCGAAAGCCUGAUGCAGCGACGCCGCGUGAGGGAUGACGGCCUUCGGGUUGUAAACCUCUUUCAGCAGGGAAGAAGCGAAAGUGACGGUACCUGCAGAAGAAGCGCCGGCUAACUACGUGCCAGCAGCCGCGGUAAUACGUAGGGCGCAAGCGUUGUCCGGAAUUAUUGGGCGUAAAGAGCUCGUAGGCGGUUAGUCGCGUCUGCUGUGAAAACUCGAGGCUCAACCUCGGGCUUGCAGUGGGUACGGGCUGACUAGAGUGCAGUAGGGGUGACUGGAAUUCCUGGUGUAGCGGUGGAAUGCGCAGAUAUCAGGAGGAACACCGAUGGCGAAGGCAGGUCACUGGGCCGCAACUGACGCUGAGGAGCGAAAGCAUGGGGAGCGAACAGGAUUAGAUACCCUGGUAGUCCAUGCCGUAAACGUUGGGCACUAGGUGUGGGGUCCAUUCCACGGAUUCCGUGCCGCAGCAAACGCAUUAAGUGCCCCGCCUGGGGAGUACGGCCGCAAGGCU
rnacentral:rRNA from 1 species